rnacentral:rRNA from 1 species
UUUCGCAAUGCCCGAAAGGGUGACGAAGCGACGCCGCGUGUGGGAAGAAGGCCUUCGGGUUGUAAACCACUGUCGGGAGUUAAGAAAGGUGUACGGGUAAAUAGUCCGUGCAUUUGACAAAAGCUCCGGAGGAAGCCACGGCUAACUCUGUGCCAGCAGCCGCGGUAAUACAGAGGUAGCAAGCGUUGUUCGGAAUUAUUGGGCGUAAAGAGCACGUAGGCGGUCCUGCAAGUCAGCUGUGAAAGCCUCCUGCUUAACGGGAGAAGUGCAGUUGAAACUACGGGGCUAGAGUGCGGAAGGGGAGAGUGGAACUUCUGGUGGAGCGGUGAAAUGCGUAGAUAUCAGAAGGAACACCGGCGGCGAAAGCGGCUCUCUGGUCCGUAACUGACGCUGAGGUGCGAAAGCCAGGGGAGCAAACGGGAUUAGAUACCCCGGUAGUCCUGGCCGUAAACGAUGGGCACUAAGUAGAGGGGUUUU